rnacentral:rRNA from 1 species
CUACGGGCCGCAGCAGUAAGGAAUAUUGGGCAAUGGACGCAAGUCUGACCCAGCCAUGCCGCGUGCAGGAUGACAGCCCUACGGGUUGUAAACUGCUUUUAUACGGGAAAAAUUCCCCGGUCGUGAAUCGGGGUUGAUGGUACCGUAAGAAUAAGCAUCGGCUAACUCCGUGCCAGCAGCCGCGGUAAUACGGAGGAUGCAAGCGUUAUCCGGAUUCAUUGGGUUUAAAGGGUGCGUAGGCGGAAUGAUAAGUCAGUGGUGAAAUCCUACAGCUUAACUGUAGAACUGCCAUUGAUACUGUUGUUCUUGAGUACAUUUGAAGUGGGCGGAAUGUGUCAUGUAGCGGUGAAAUGCAUAGAGAUGACACAGAACACCGAUCGCGAAGGCAGCUCACUAAAAUGUAACUGACGCUGAGGCACGAAAGCGUGGGGAUCAAACAGGAUUAGAUACCCGGGUAGUC